GACGAACGCUGGCGGCGUGCUUAACACAUGCAAGUCGAACGGAAAGGCCCUUCGGGGUACUCGAGUGGCGAACGGGUGAGUAACACGUGGGUGAUCUGCCCUGCACUUUGGGAUAAGCCUGGGAAACUGGGUCUAAUACCGAAUAGGACCACGGCCUUCAUGGGUUGUGGUGGAAAGCUUUUGCGGUGUGGGAUGGGCCCGCGGCCUAUCAGCUUGUUGGUGGGGUAAUGGCCUACCAAGGCGACGACGGGUAGCCGGCCUGAGAGGGUGACCGGCCACACUGGGACUGAAAUACGGCCCAGACUCCUACGGGAGGCAGCAGUGGGGAAUAUUGCACAAUGGGCGCAAGCCUGAUGCAGCGACGCCGCGUGAGGGAUGACGGCCUUCGGGUUGUAAACCUCUUUCAGCAGGGACGAAGCGCAAGUGACGGUACCUGUAGAAGAAGGACCGGCCAACUACGUGCCAGCCGCCGCCGUAA
rnacentral:rRNA from 1 species